rnacentral:rRNA from 1 species
UACGUAGGUGGCGAGCGUUGUCCGGAUUUACUGGGCGUAAAGAGCGCGCAGGCGGCUGGUCAAGUCCGAUGUGAAAGCUCCCGGCUUAACUGGGAAAUUGCAUCGGAAACUGAUCGGCUGGAAGGUGGGAGAGGGUAGCGGAAUUCCCGGUGUAGUGGUGAAAUGCGUAGAUAUCGGGAGGAACACCAGUGGCGAAAGCGGCUACCUGGCCCAUUCCUGACGCUGAUGCGCGAAAGCUAGGGGAGCGAACGGG